rnacentral:lncRNA from 1 species
CUCAUUUGCCUUUUGAUCAUGUUUUGGUUUAGUUGAAGAUAUAUUUUUCUAUAAAUACUUUCAACUCGUGGAACAAAAAGGAAAUGUUUUAGUUGAGUCAUGUUUUGGCAUGACUAAUUAUAAACCAUAAUUUAUGUUCCCUGGUCUUGUUUCUUUCCUUUCCGUUCUUGUUUCCUGGGUUGCAUUUCCAGUGUUCAAAUUCAAGUUAUUCUGUUAUUUCCGAUAAGAAACUAUUGAAUCCAAGGGGAUUUGUGCGUAUGAAUUGGAUAAAUCCUUAAGGGCGGUGAUCACAUGCCUCAGGUUUAUGAUUUUACAGUUUCUUGUUGUUUCCUCCACGGUGGCUGGCAUCAAUUACCUCAAUAUUAAGAUAAGUUCAUUAAUUUCUAUUCUAUUUUAUUUUCAUAUUUAUUUGAUACCUAUAUUCAUAUUUUUGUUUAUCAUUCAGAUUAUCCAAUUGUAUAACAACUGUAUGAGUCAAAGUAUUAUAUGAAAUGUAUAUAUAGUUGUAUUUCUUACUCUCCUGGGCCAGAUAUGUUGAUUGCGGGAUUUGAUUAGGUGAGAGACCAAUGAAUGGAACAAAAUAUUGAAAAUUGGUUUAUACUGUUAUUUUAAAAAUCCAACGUAAUUAGACAGUUCAAUUAAUUGAACCAGUAUUGUCUACGGUUUAAUAACAAUUUAAAACAGUUGAACUAUAAUUUUAAGGUCUUGCGGUUCAAUGUCAUGUUGGUCUUCUUAACACAUUGGCAAAUUUUGAUUGAAGCGGCCAUGUCAUACCUCUAACUAAGGGGGACCCUUAAAGAAUUCUAUAUAUACUCCCCUUAUCUUCUCUUCACUUCUCCCUCUCUCAUUUCUUCGGUCGUUUUCUUCUUUAGUUUUAGUUAUAUUAAGUUUAGUUUAACUUUUAUCAUUUCAUGUAUAAAUGGUCGUAUAGCCCGUCGUCGGCUACUCAUAUUAUUUUUAUUGAUGUUGUUUAAUCAUCAUGGUUGAAAAUAGUAUGUUAAUCGACGAAGGACUUUUUGUGGUCAAAUUGAAAACCAUUUGACUAGCUGAAACAAAUGUCAAUCAAAUGAAACUUUACCCCAAAAGAGACCCGCCCUGAUUUACUUUUAUCCCAAAACGAAAAGGUAGAGGUGAUUAUGGAAGAUUCAUCUACUUGAGAUUUGCUAUAGGGGGAUUUAUUGAAUGUCCCCCAAAAGUGGCAACAACCUGGCCUCCAACAUCUUGAUGAACUCCUAAAAUGAGAAGUAGAUGGCGGAUUCGAAAUUUAAGUUUUUGUUUUUUGAAGUACU